UAAUAUUAAUACAAUUAAAUGGGUGCUUUUGAAUUAGGCUUCAGCAGUGCACCCUAAUGGUUUGAAACACGAGCUGUGUCCAUGCUUCUCCUUCGGGGGGAGGGAGGAGGAUGCGGAACCGGGACAAUUGGACCUUUUUCUCGUCAGUAUCUCUCGCCGCCCGCAGUAUUUCAUCAGGAAAUAUGGUACACGCUGCAGAUAAAACAAAGCUAGUGCCUGGAAAGGGCGUGGAGCAUGAGAUUCGCUGGCUGCUACAGUCUGAGACCGACCCGGUCCAGAUCCGGGCCACCUGUGUGGGCUAGCCUGCCCUCCCGUCUGCCCCCCCACCCCCCCGUCUCCAGGAAGUGGUCACCAGGCAGUCUAUUGCCUUUCAUUCCCUCCCCUUCAACUUCACAAGCAGCGCAGAGAAGCUGAAAGCUGGCAGAAAUGUGCAUUCACUGUAAACGGCUGUGAUUAAUGAAGAAAAAGAAAGAAAAUAGCGCAAUAUCAAAUCCUGAAAAUGUGUGAAAUAAAAGCUAGAACAGAUGGAACGAGCA
rnacentral:lncRNA from 1 species